rnacentral:rRNA from 1 species
ACACGUAAGGGGCGAGCGUUGUUCGGAAUUAUUGGGCGUAAAGGGUGCGUAGGCGGUCGUGCAAGCCUGGUGUGAAAUCCUGGGGCUUAACCCCAGAACUGCAUUGGGAACUGCGGGACUAGAGUCAUGGAAGGGGAGUUGGAAUUCCAGGUGUAGGGGUGAAAUCUGUAGAUAUCUGGAAGAACACCGGUGGCGAAGGCGAACUCCUGGCCAAUGACUGACGCUGAGGCACGAAAGUGCGGGGAGC